GUGUGGGUAGGGGAGAAAUUCCAAUCGAACCCGGAGAUAGCUGGUUCUCCUCGAAAUAGCUUUAGGGCUAGCCUCGUUUUAGUCUUAUGGAGGUAGAGCACUGAAUUUCCGCGGGGGCGUCAAAGCUUACCAAAGAAUAUCAAACUCCGAAUGCCAUGUAGAUGAUGAACGGGAGUCAGACUGCACGAGAUAAGUUGGGCAGUCAAAAGGGAAAGAGCCCAGACCGCCAGCUAAGGUCCCAAAGUGUGUGUUAAGUGGAAAAGGAUGUGGGAUCUCCAAGACAACUAGGAUGUUGGCUCAGAAGCAGCCACACAUUCAAAGAGUGCGUAACAGCUCACUAGUCGAGAGGUCCUGCGCCGAAAAUGUCCGGGGCUGAAACACAACACCGAAGCUGCGGAAUUGCGAAUGCAAUUGGUAGAGGAGCAUUCUUAAUACCGACGAAGCUGUACCGGAAGGAGCAGUGGAGGGAUAAGAAGAGAGAAUGCCGGAAUGAGUAGCGAGAGAGAGGUGGGAAUCCUCUCGGCCGAAUAUCCAAGGUUUCCAGAGUAAAGCUGAUCUGCUCUGGGUAAGUCGGGGCCUAAGGCGAGGUCAAGAGACGUAGCCGAUGGACAACAGGUUUAGAUUCCUGUACCGCAUAUAAACAGAACUGUGGGGACGCAUGGGGAGAGCAUGGGCCGGGAAUGGAAAUACCGGUGCAAGCGAAGGAGGUGUGCAGCCGGCAAAUCCGCUGCAUGAGCCGAAAGCGUGACGCGGAGCGAAAUGAAAGUAGCGAAGCAUGUGAGCCCUGUGCCGAGAAAAGCCGCUAUAGCUUUAUAUGUGCCCGUACCGUAAACCGACACAGGUGGAUGAGGAGAGAAUCCUAAGGCCGGCGGAAGAAGUAUUGUUAAGGAACUCGGCAAAAUGACCCCGUAACUUCGGGAGAAGGGGUGCCCACGGGAGUGGGCCGCAGAGAAUAGGCUCAAGCAACUGUUUAGCAAAAACACAGGUCUAUGCGAAACCGAAAGGUGAAGUAUAUGGGCUGACGCCUGCCCGGUGCUGGAAGGUUAAGAGGAGAGGUUAGCGCAAGCGAAGCUUUGAAUUUAAGCCCCAGUAAACGGCGGCCGUAACUAUAACGGUCCUAAGGUAGCGAAAUUCCUUGUCGGGUAAGUUCCGACCCGCACGAAAGGCGUAAUGAUUUGGGCACUGUCUCGACAAUGCACCCGGUGAAAUUGAAAUACCAGUGAAGAUGCUGGUUACCCGCGCCAGGACGGAAAGACCCCAUGGAGCUUUACUCUAGUUUGAUACUGGGAUUCGGUACUGCAUGUACAGGAUAGGCGGGAGACUGAGAAGUAGUGACGUCAGUUGCUACAGAGUCGCUGUUGGGAUACCACCCCUGCAGUAUUGGGUUUCUAACCUGCGGGAGAAGCUACCGAACCCACGCACUUCGACUCGCAUGCCGCGGCUCAAAGCGCAUACCAUCGAUCGAAGAACGAUGUUUACCGCUUCAUCGGCGUUACGGCCGGAAAGCAUCGGAUGGCGUCCGAAAACCCGCGAAAUCAACUCUGAUUUCGUCAAGGCUCGCAUAUACGAACCCCCGAUUACUUCUGUUCGAGCUUGGCCUUGAGCAGAGCGCCCAAGUUGGUCGUACCGGAGCUGGCGUCGGAGUUAACGCGAUCGAGAGCCUUGCGGGCUUCGGCGGCAUCCUUAGCCUUGAUCGAGAGCUGGAUCGAACGGUUCUUGCGAUCCACGCUGGUGAUCAGAGCUUCGACUUCCUGACCAACGGUGAGCUGGGUGGUGGCAUCUUCAACGCGUUCGGAAGAGAUUUCGGAAGCGCGCAGGUAGCCUUCGGUGUCGUUGCCAAGAUCAAUCACGGCGCCCUUGGCGUCGACGCUCUUGACGGUGCCCUUGACGAUCGUGCCCUUCUCGUGACGGCCGGCGAAUUCGCUGAACGGAUCGCCGCCAAGCUGCUUGAUGCCGAGGCUGAUACGU
rnacentral:rRNA from 1 species